CACACACACACACACACUCUCUCUCUCUCCUUCCCUCCCUUCCUCCGCAAUGUGGAAUCCCCACCCCCGACUGGGUAAGUACCUUCUGUACAUUUAAGUGUUUGCAGACCUUGCCAUUCUUUUAAAAAGUACCUGUACAAUUAUGCACAGUUCAGGUAACGUAACAUUAUACAAGGUAAGCCUUUUUUUCUGUUCAAGAUCCUAGUCGGUUAAGUAGAACUGGGGUUUGAAAUCAGAGAAAAGGAAAAGGUGAAAAGCAGCAUGCAAAACUGAGAAACUAAAAAUUGUGAUAGUGAUUUUAUUAAUGAAAAUAAACUUUAUUUAAUACGGGGCAAUCCUGAGGUAGUUAUGAGUAUUUCACAUAACGGAGAAAAGUCACAGUAGUGUCAAAUCCCAGACUCCCAGGAAAGUAACUGUGUAACACUGUUAAUAUCACAAUUUGAGAAAUUGUCUACUUUGUUCCGAAAAGUUUUAUUUUUCCUUAAAAAAAAAAAAAAGACAAAACAGAACCAAAAAAGGAACAAACAGAAACCACUGUGAGCUGGCGACUGCGACGACAGGCCAAUAAGACACCCAGGCUUUCCGGGUCGUGCUUGGCUUUGGGAUGAAUGUCCGCGAAGACAGCCCUGGAACCACCCAUCACGUCCCACACCCAGAGCCCAAGAAAGCGGCAGGAGCCGCGGGGUCCGGGCCCCUCUGCAGACGUGGAGAGGCCCUCGGGGCUGCCCCUCCGGGCGAAGGAUCACAGGAAAGGCAGUGCGGUCGUAACCUGGCAGAAUCUCAAGAUGUAAAAUACAGGAAAAGCAGAAGCCCCAAAGAGAAAACAGAACAAAGGCUGAGCUGUCUUUCUGCAAGCCCUGGGAUCCUUUCACCCUUCCCCACCCCUCAAAGGCAUCUCUGAAGUCUUCCUAGGCUUGGAGGGACCCAUUUUGAAAACCCUUAAAUCCAGCCCCUCAUUCGGCAGAUGAGGAAAUUAAACCCUGAGAAGCUGAGACCUACCCAAGUUUGCACAGUGAGCUUGCGAGAGAACCAACAGCGGGACGGACGCCUGUGGCUUCUCAGCUCAGCAUUUUCUCCCACCACCAGGACUAUUCAGAUGUGAUUAGUUUUUCCAAAAUAACCCAUUGGUUAAAUAGAUGAGGGAGAACCUUGAUAAAGGGCUCAAAUUGGCAGAGGUCAACUCCCUAAAAAAUUUACCUUCUCAAUCAAACGGUCAGGUUGAUCAGAUGUCCCUCCUUUGCUCACCUGUCCUAUCAUGUUCCAUGAUGCACCGAAAUUAUCUGUUUAUAGUAGAGAUCAAUAAAUUGGCCUGCACAGUGUAUCCCA
rnacentral:lncRNA from 1 species